rnacentral:rRNA from 1 species
GAUGGGCCUGCUCGGUGAAACGUCUUAACAGCUGCGGUAUUUUAACUGUACUAAGGUAGCAUAAUAAUUUGCCUUAUAAUUUGAGGCUAGAAUGAAUGGUUUGACGAAGGUUAAUCUGUCUCUGCUUUAUUUUUUAGAAAUUAAUUUUCAUAGUGAAAAAGCUUGAAUUUCUUAAGGGGACGAGAAGACCCUACUGAGCUUAUAAUUUUAUUAUCACAUAUAUUUAUGUAUAAUGUGCUAUAUAAAUUUUAAUUGGGGUGAUUAAGGAAUAAUAUAGCUAUUUUAUAACUUCCUUAGAUAUUAUAUUGUUGAAUUAAGUAACCGAUUAACUAAUAGAAUUGUAUUAUGUAUUGCUUAUAAUAUAGUUACCAUAGGGAUAACAGCGUAAUUUACUUAGAGAGUUCUUAUUGAAAAGUAAGAUUGCGACCUCGAUGUUGGAUUAAAGUGACCUUAAG